CCUACGGGAGGCAGCAGUGGGGAAUAUUGGACAAUGGGCGAAAGCCUGAUCCAGCCAUGCCGCGUGUGUGAAGAAGGUCUUCGGAUUGUAAAGCACUUUAAGGUGGGAGGCGUUACCGCCAGAAUAAGCACCGGCUAACUCUGUGCCAGCAGCCGCGGUAAUACAGAGGGUGCAAGCGUUAAUCGGAAUUACUGGGCGUAAAGCGCGCGUAGGUGGUUUGUUAAGUUGAAUGUGAAAGCCCCGGGCUCAACCUGGGAACUGCAUCCAAAACUGGCAAGCUAGAGUAUGGUAGAGGGUGGUGGAAUUUCCUGUGUAGCGGUGAAAUGCGUAGAUAUAGGAAGGAACACCAGUGGCGAAGGCGACCACCUGGACUAAACUGACACUGAGGUGCGAAAGCGUGGGGAGCAAACAGGAUUAGAUACCCCAGUAGUC
rnacentral:rRNA from 1 species